UACGUAGGGUGCGAGCGUUAAUCGGAAUUACUGGGCGUAAAGCGUGCGCAGGCGGUUUUGUAAGCCAGAUGUGAAAUCCCCGGGCUCAACCUGGGAAUGGCAUUUGGGACUGCAAGGCUGGAGUGCGGCAGAGGAGACUGGAAUUCCUGGUGUAGCAGUGAAAUGCGUAGAUAUGCGGAGGAACACCGAUGGCGAAGGCAGCCCCCUGGGCUGACACUGACGCUCAGGCACGAAAGCGUGGGGAGCAAACAGG
rnacentral:rRNA from 1 species